rnacentral:rRNA from 1 species
CGCGCAGGCGGCCAGGUCAGUCGAAUGUGAAAGCCCCGGCUCAACUGGGGAAGGUCGUUCGAUACUGCCUGGCUCGAAGAUAGGAGAGGGAAGUGGAAUUUCAGGUGUAGUGGUGAAAUGCGUAGAUAUCUGAAGGAACACCAGUGGCGAAGGCGACUUUCUGGCCUAUUCUUGACGCUGAGGCGCGAAAGCUAGGGGAGCGAACG